rnacentral:rRNA from 1 species
UACGGGGGGGGGUAAGCGUUGUUCGGAAUUACUGGGCGUAAAGGGCUCGUAGGCGGCCAACUAAGUCAGACGUGAAAUCCCUCAGCUUAACUGGGGAACUGCGUCUGAUACUGGAUGGCUUGGAUUCGGGAGAGGAAUGCGGAAUUCCAGGUGUAGCGGUGAAAUGCGUAGAUAUCUGGAGGAACACCGGUGGCGAAGGCGGCCCACUGGAUCGGUACUGACGCUGAGGUGCGAAAGCGUGGGGAGCAAACAGG